rnacentral:tRNA from 1 species
AUCCGUCGAUUUUUGAAAUCGUGAGGGUUCAAGUC